rnacentral:ncRNA from 1 species
CCUACGGAGUGUCAAAACAACCAUAGUAGAUUAUCGAGGUGGGACACGAUGAACUAGGAA